AAGGUAAAGAAUCACAAAGGCUAUUGCAGCGCUGAGAGUUCACACCUACAAAGUUGCCAAAUAGAAGGACACAGACGGAGUCGAGUCUACAGAUGAGCGUGGCUGCCAGCGAUGCACUCACGUUGGUUCGUUCCACUCCUCCCCCGCUGGACUAGAAAGUGAUGGUAGUUUCUACUGUUUGAAGAGAAGGUCAAAAUGCCUGCGAUUGCUUUGUACACUCGAGAAGACGCUGUUUCGGGAGGACCAUGCGUGAGUGUCCUCGCUUUUCUGAAGAUUAUCCCUUGACAGCCCGAUUUUUACGAACGGAAAUGCCACAUCUUUUCAGUCUGUUCUAAAAUGCUUGGCAAGGAAUCACUUCCAUGUUAUCAGUGUUCCUCUUACAGCUGCACCUGGGAGAGAAAAUGGUGAUGGAUCUGGAAUCCCCCCCCCCCACACACACACACACACACACACACACACACAUACUCACACAC